rnacentral:rRNA from 1 species
GAAUUCAACUCCUACGGGAGGCAGCAGUAAGGAAUAUUGGUCAAUGGACGCAAGUCUGAACCAGCCAUGCCGCGUGAAGGAUGAAGGUCCUCUGGAUUGUAAACUUCUUUUAUAGGGGACGAAAUCUAUUUUUCUAAGUAGUCUGACGGUACCCUAGGAAUAAGCACCGGCUAACUCCGUGCCAGCAGCCGCGGUAAUACGGAGGGUGCAAGCGUUAUCCGGAUUCACUGGGUUUAAAGGGAGCGUAGGAGGGCAGGUAAGUCAGUGGUGAAAUCUUCGAGCUUAACUCGGAAACUGCCGUUGAUACUAUCUGUCUUGAAUACCGUGGAGAUGAGCGGAAUAUGUCAUGUAGCGGUGAAAUGCUUAGAUAUGACAUAGAACACCAAUUGCGAAGGCAGCUCGUUACACGAAUAUUGACUCUGAGGCUCGAAAGCGUGGGGAUCAAACAGGAUUAGAUACCCCAGUAGUCCAGGCGUU